rnacentral:tRNA from 1 species
GGGAGAAUGACUGAGUGGUUAAAAGUGACAGACUGUAAAUCUGUUGAAAUUAUUUCUACGUAGGUUCGAAUCCUGCUUCUCCCA